rnacentral:tRNA from 1 species
GGCGGUGUAGCUCAGCCCGGUUAGAGCAGCGGCUUCAUAAGCCGCGCGUCGGGGGUUCAAAUCCCUCCACCGCUACCA